rnacentral:rRNA from 1 species
AUGAACGCUGGCGGCUUGCCUAAUACAUGCAAGUCGAGCGAACAGACGAGGAGCUUGCUCCUUUGACGUUAGCGGCGGACGGGUGAGUAACACGUGGAUAACCUACCUAUAAGACUGGGAUAACUUCGGGAAACCGGAGCUAAUACCGGAUAACAUGUUGAACCGCAUGGUUCAACAGUGAAAGACGGUCUUGCUGUCACUUAUAGAUGGAUCCGCGCCGCAUUAGCUAGUUGGUAAGGUAACGGCUUACCAAGGCAACGAUGCGUAGCCGACCUGAGAGGGUGAUCGGCCACACUGGAACUGAGACACGGUCCAGACUCCUACGGGAGGCAGCAGUAGGGAAUCUUCCGCAAUGGGCGAAAGCCUGACGGAGCAACGCCGCGUGAGUGAAGAAGGUCUUCGGAUCGUAAAACUCUGUUAUUAGGGAAGAACAAAUGUGUAAGUAACUAUGCACGUCUUGACGGUACCUAAUCAGAAAGCCACGGCUAACUACGUG